UUUUAAAAAAAAAGGCCUAAUCGAUUACUCUUUAAUUCUUAAGAGUUAAGACUUUACUUACUUUACCCUCACUCUCUCAGACCUAAUCUAAGUAUUCUGUCGAUUUCUUCUCUUCUCUUCACAGCCAAAUCCCGAAGUUCGUUUUCCGACCUAUGGAGAGCAAAGUUCAGGGGCUUUGGUUAUGAUUUGGUAUGGAGGUUUGCUUGGGGUCCAUCGUGGAUGUGCCA
rnacentral:lncRNA from 1 species